rnacentral:antisense_RNA from 1 species
CUUCACCGACCCGAGCAGCAGCGGCAGUUGACGGUCGCGCCCCUGUCCGUACGUGGCCAGCAGCGCCUGCGCCUC